GAUCCUGGCUCAGAUUGAACGCUGGCGGCAGGCCUAACACAUGCAAGUCGAGCGGAUGAAGGGAGCUUGCUCCUGGAUUCAGCGGCGGACGGGUGAGUAAUGCCUAGGAAUCUGCCUGGUAGUGGGGGAUAACGUCCGGAAACGGGCGCUAAUACCGCAUACGUCCUGAGGGAGAAAGUGGGGGAUCUUCGGACCUCACGCUAUCAGAUGAGCCUAGGUCGGAUUAGCUAGUUGGUGGGGUAAAGGCCUACCAAGGCGACGAUCCGUAACUGGUCUGAGAGGAUGAUCAGUCACACUGGAACUGAGACACGGUCCAGACUCCUACGGGAGGCAGCAGUGGGGAAUAUUGGACAAUGGGCGAAAGCCUGAUCCAGCCAUGCCGCGUGUGUGAAGAAGGUCUUCGGAUUGUAAAGCACUUUAAGUUGGGAGGAAGGGCAGUAAGUUAAUACCUUGCUGUUUUGACGUUACCAACAGAAUAAGCACCGGCUAACUUCGUGCCAGCAGCCGCGGUAAUACGAAGGGUGCAAGCGUUAAUCGGAAUUACUGGGCGUAAAGCGCGCGUAGGUGGUUCAGCAAGUUGGAUGUGAAAUCCCCGGGCUCAACCUGGGAACUGCAUCCAAAACUACUGAGCUAGAGUACGGUAGAGGGUGGUGGAAUUUCCUGUGUAGCGGUGAAAUGCGUAGAUAUAGGAAGGAACACCAGUGGCGAAGGCGACCACCUGGACUGAUACUGACACUGAGGUGCGAAAGCGUGGGGAGCAAACAGGAUUAGAUACCCUGGUAGUCCACGCCGUAAACGAUGUCGACUAGCCGUUGGGAUCCUUGAGAUCUUAGUGGCGCAGCUAACGCGAUAAGUCGACCGCCUGGGGAGUACGGCCGCAAGGUAAAACUCAAAGGAAUUGACGGC
rnacentral:rRNA from 1 species